UGGGGAAUCUUGCGCAAUGGGCGACAGCCUGACGCAGCAACGCCGCGUGGGGGAAGACGGCCUUCGGGUUGUAAACCCCUUUCAGGAGGGACGAAGCUUCGGCAGCGAAUAGCUGUCCGGAGUGACGGUACCUCACUAAGAAGCCCCGGCUAACUACGUGCCAGCAGCCGCGGUAAUACGUAGGGGGCUAGCGUUGUCCGGAAUCAUUGGGCGUAAAGAGCGCGUAGGCGGCCAGACAAGUCCGGUGUGAAAGUCACAGGCUCAACCUGUGAAUGCCGCUGGAAACUGUCUGGCUAGAGUCCGGAAGGGGCGAGUGGAAUUCCUGGUGUAGCGGUGAAAUGCGCAGAUAUCAGGAGGAACACCUAUGGCGAAGGCAGCUCGCUGGGACGGUACUGACGCUGAGGCGCGAAAGCGUGGGGAGCGAACAG
rnacentral:rRNA from 1 species